AAUAUAAGUGAUGGCGACCGGCGCACGGGUGAGUAACACGUAUCCAACCUGCCGAUAACUCGGGGAUAGCCUUUCGAAAGAAGGAUUAAUACCCGAUGGUAUAAUAAAACCGCAUGGUUUAAUUAUUAAAGAAUUUCGGUUAUCGAUGGGGAUGCGUUCCAUUAGGCAGUUGGUGAGGUAACGGCUCACCAAACCUUCGAUGGAUAGGGGUUCUGAGAGGAAGGUCCCCCACAUUGGAACUGAGACACGGUCCAA
rnacentral:rRNA from 1 species